GACGAACGCUGGCGGCGUGCCUAAUACAUGCAAGUUGAGCGCUGAAGGUUGGUACUUGUACCAACUGGAUGAGCAGCGAACGGGCGAGUAACGCGUGGGGAAUCUGCCUUUGAGCGGGGGACAACAUUUGGAAACGAAUGCUAAUACCGCAUAAAAACUUUAAACACAAGUUUUAAGUUUGAAAGAUGCAAUUGCAUCACUCAAAGAUGAUCCCGCGUUGUAUUAGCUAGUUGGUGAGGUAAAGGCUCACCAAGGCGAUGAUACAUAGCCGACCUGAGAGGGUGAUCGGCCACAUUGGGACUGAGACACGGCCCAAACUCCUACGGGAGGCAGCAGUAGGGAAUCUUCGGCAAUGGACGAAAGUCUGACCGAGCAACGCCGCGUGAGUGAAGAAGGUUUUCGGAUCGUAAAACUCUGUUGGUAGAGAAGAACGUUGGUGAGAGUGGAAAGCUCAUCAAGUGACGGUAACUACCCAGAAAGGGACGGCUAAUUACGUG
rnacentral:rRNA from 1 species